UUUUAUAAUGUUUUCCAACUCUUCACCUUUUUCCUUUUGACUUGAUGCCUGAUGGAUUGAGCACUCACAGACUAGGACCGUACCAGACUUCCCAUGGUGCAGAUGUGAGAAGGUUAGUUCCUGUUGCUAUGUGAAAAAUGUAUAAUAUUGCACGUACAAUCAUCUUGUCGUGUGCAGAUGCAUUUGCUAUGAACAUGACUGGACGAGAGUAGUAUACGUAAAUUAUUUAUUCUCUUCGAAGAACUUCUAUGUUUACACUGUUGAGCAAUUUCUUUCAUGCAGGACCAAUGAACUAUGAGCAUAGAACCAAAGUUUCCAGACCUACAAUU
rnacentral:lncRNA from 1 species